CUACGUGCCAGCAGCCGCGKUAAUACGUAGGUGGCAAGCGUUGUCCGGAAUUAUUGGGUGUAAAGCGCGCGCAGGCGGAUUGGUCAGUCUGUCUUAAAAGUUCGGGGCUUAACCCCGUGAUGGGAUGGAAACCGCCAAUYUAGAGUAUCGGAGAGGAAAGUGGAAUUCCUAGUGUAGCGGUGAAAUGCGUAGAUAUUAGGAAGAACACCAGUGGCGAAGGCGACUUUCUGGACGAAAACUGACGCUGAGGCGCGAAAGCCAGGGGAGCGAACGGGAUUAGAUACCCCGGUAGUCCUGGCCGUAAACGAUGGGUACUAGGUGUAGGAGGUAUCGACCCCUUCUGUGCCGGAGUUAACGCAAUAAGUACCCCGCCUGGGGAGUACGACCGCAAGGUUGAAACUCAAAGGAAUUGACGGGGGCCCGCACAAGCGGUGGAGUAUGUGGUUUAAUUCGACGCAACGCGAAGAACCUUACCAGGUCUUGACAUUGAUGGACAGAACUAGAGAUAG
rnacentral:rRNA from 1 species